rnacentral:rRNA from 1 species
GAUGAACGCUGGCGGCGUGCCUAAUACAUGCAAGUCGAGCGAACAGACGAGGAGCUUGCUCCUCUGACGUUAGCGGCGGACGGGUGAGUAACACGUGGAUAACCUACCUAUAAGACUGGGAUAACUUCGGGAAACCGGAGCUAAUACCGGAUAAUAUAUUGAACCGCAUGGUUCAAUAGUGAAAGACGGUUUUGCUGUCACUUAUAUAUGGAUCCGCGCCGCAUUAGCUAGUUGGUAAGGUAACGGCUUACCAAGGCGACGAUGCGUAGCCGACCUGAGAGGGUGAACAGCAACAAUGGAACUGAGACACGGUCCAGACUCCUACGGGAGGCAGCAGUAGGGAAUCUUCCGCAAUGGGCGAAAGCCUGACGGAGCAACGCCGCGUGAGUGAUGAAGGUCUUCGGAUCGUAAAACUCUGUUAUUAGGGAAGAACAAAUGUGUAAGUAACUAUGCACGUCUUGACGGUACCUAAUCAGAAAGCCACGGCUAACUACGUG